rnacentral:rRNA from 1 species
GAUGAACGCUGGCGGCGUGCCUAAUACAUGCAAGUCGAGCGAACAGACGAGGAGCUUGCUCCUCUGACGUUAUCGGCGGACGGGUGAGUAACACGUGGAUAACCUACCUAUAAGACUGGGAUAACUUCGGGAAACCGUAGCUAAUACCGGAUAACAUAUUGAACCGCAUGGUGCAACAGUGAAAGACGCUCUUGCUGUCACUUAUAGCUGGAUCAGCGCCGCAUUAGCUAGUUGGUAAGGUAACGGCUUACCAAGACAACGAUGCGUAGACGACCUGAGAGGGCGAUCCGCAACACGGCAGCUGAGACGAGCACCAGAACUCUAAGGGAGGCAGGAGUAAGGAUCCUACGGGAAGGAGCGAUAGCGUGAAGGAGCAACGCGGCGAGAGUGUAGAAGGUCAUCGGAGCGUAAAUCUUUGAUACCAGAGAAUUAUAAAGGUCUAAUUAACUAUGCGAGAAUGGAAGGUCCCUAAGAAGAAAGCCCCGCCAACCCACGU